rnacentral:rRNA from 1 species
AUUGAACGCUGGCGGCAUGCCUUACACAUGCAAGUCGAACGGCAGCACGGGAGCAAUCCUGGUGGCGAGUGGCGAACGGGUGAGUAAUAUAUCGGAACGUGCCCGGUCGUGGGGGAUAACGUAGCGAAAGCUACGCUAAUACCGCAUACGAUCUACGGAUGAAAGCGGGGGAUCGCAAGACCUCGCGCGAUUGGAGCGGCCGAUAUCAGAUUAGGGUAGUUGGUGAGGUGAAGGCUCACCAAGCCGACGAUCUGUAGCUGGUCUGAGAGGACGACCAGCCACACUGGGACUGAGACACGGCCC